rnacentral:lncRNA from 1 species
UCUUACCGAAUUUUGAGCUCAUGGACGGCGACGGAUUUUUUCCCUGGCAUCUCUGCAUAGCGGAAUGCAAACACAUCACGGAACUAUUGGAGAGGUUGGGUAUACUACAUCACUUCUUCAGGAGCAAGGUGGGGCAUUGAUGAAUAUCGGGCGUGGUUCAUCGUCCAUGCCAAAAUGGAUCUGCUUGACUUCGUCUUCCGUGGGAGGAGCUUUACAUAAUAGGGGGCUCCUUUCUUUCUGACGCUGCACGUGUUAAGGCUUGGAGUUAUUCUUCAUCUUCCUCGCCUGAUUCAUCACUAUCGGAGCUCUAUUAGUAAAUUAGGACUGCUGCGAAGUUUACUGCUACUGCUAGAGAAAGGAAAUCAUCCAGUUGAACUUCAUGGUCUCAACCUUCUGUAGUGGACGACUCAUAAGCUUCAAAUUCUGACCCAUCUC